AAUAAGCUCACUGACAAAACAAGCAAUUAUGCAUACAAUAAAUUAAAGGAAUCACCUCAUUAUGGUCAUGGAGUAGAAGAGGGGUGUUUGCCAUAGGUGAGAAUCCAAUUGCUGGCAAUCCAAGUUCGCAGAAGUAGCGUGAACCUAGAUUUCAAUCCCUUUCAACUUUUCGUCUCUAUGCAGAAACUUUAUAUUGGAGACUCGAGACAACUAGGAUGGAGAAACACUAGUGCAGUUUCAUAUAGAAAUUAUGAAAGAACAAAAAAAAUCAACCAAAACAUCUUUUUCAAUGGAACCCAUCUGAACACUUUUACGGAUCUUUUUGUUACUGACAUGUUUUUCAUCUAACUCAUUUUGAUCCAACAUAUGAGAUUUCAUAUUACACUUGCACUCCCAUACUAGCUUUUGUAAUUUUCCUUUUAGUUUGAGUAAUUAAUUAAUCAUUUGGAUUAAUUAGUUAAUCUGAACACGUUUCCUCUAUUUUUGCCAUUUGCUCUAUUUCCACAUACACGGCACAGUUUGGAAAGAAAUAAACAAUCAAGCGAUUAUACAGUAAUCGGACACAUCCACGCCCUUAUACACCCAAAAACAAUGGAGAUGAGAUACCUUCAAACUAAUGGCCAAUAUGAAAUUGAGCCAACUUAUACAACAGAACUUAUAGUGAAUAUAUCAUAUUUUCAUUAUCUUAUAUCUUUUAAUGCACGUUUUUGUUCUUGUAGCUGCAAAUUUUCAUGAAAAAAAGUGAAAACAAAACACUGAAUCAAAAUCCUCUAUCAUCUUUCUAUAUUUUCUUUUUUAACAGUAGCAGGACAGAGGUAUAUUAGCCCGAUAAUUAUAAUAACCACCAUUGAAAUCAUUAUCCGAUUUUUAAUUUAUCAAGAUGAAAAGGAACCUAUUAUACAAAAGAAAAUAUUGAGUUAUGAAAUCAGUCACUAGAGCCACCCAAACAUCUCCAGCUGGAGAAUGGGAUAAAAUGGUGCAUUCAACAUCGAAUGUGGAGUAAUUUGAAUGUGAUAAAGAACCAGUUCAGCAGAAACCGAAUCCUGUCUUAUUAACCAAUGUCUUUCAUCUCUCUUCUCUUUUCCUUACAAUCUCCAACAUUAAUCCAGUGAAAAUAUAGGGAAAUAAUAAUGAACCUCCAGUAAAUUGGAUAUUUGACUUCUGAGUAAUUAUGCCAUCAGUGUGUUUUUCAAUAGUGACUAUAGUCAUGAAACAGUUGCAGUAGUAAAGAUAAAGAAUCUACGUAUCUUGUGAAACUGAAAGAAUGGAGGAUGAUGAUAUUACCAGUAAUCACCACAUGAACAUGAGCCAUCUUUAAAAUGGUGGAAUCUAUUAAUAUCUCUAACAAUAAUUUCCCUUGAGACAAUUUUACAUACAAAUUUGAGAAAGGUGUGGCAGUCAACACAAAUUCGUAUAUUCUUUUUCACCCUUAUUGGGGCACCGGGUGGCAUAGCAAUUAAUCCAAAGGCCACAGCAAGUUUCUCACUGUGGUGAUAUAAGAGUUUCUCCUUUUCACUUCUGUUCACAUUAUGUAUAUCAAUCUCUACAACGGGACUAUAUCCAGCCUUACUUAGAAGGUCACCCAACUGAUCCAAUUUAGCAUAUAUUUCAUCACUUCUAGAAUGACUCCUGUCUCCAACGAUGAAAGUGUAUACCUUGUCUUUGAUCUCAAUCCAACUCAUUCCGGGUUCCUUCUUCACCUUGCUGUCUUUCAUUACCUUUCUAACCUUAGCAACAUUUUCCCACAUCCCUGCAGAGGCAUAGAUGUUUGCAAGGAGAACGUGAGUACCAGAUUUAUCUGGCUCUAGAUCAUAAAGCAUCUCUGCAGCUUUCUGACCAAGUUCUAUAUUUUUAUGGAUUCUCGCAGCUCCUAGAAGUGCCCCCCAAACUGAGCCAUUGGCCUCAAAAGGAAUGGAAUUUACAAGCUCCACUGCUUCAUUUAAUUUCCCAGAUCGUCCAAGGAGAUCAAUCAUACAAGCAUAAUGCUCUUGUGUGGGUUUAAUACCAAACAUUUCCUCCAUUUUUUCGAAAUAUUGCCUUCCCUCGUUUACCAAACCAGCAUGAUUACAUGCACAAAGAACACUAACUAGAGUAAUAUGGUUGGGAGGCACACCAACUCUAAGCAUUUGAUUGAACAACUGAAGAGCCUGUUUGCCAUGGCCAUGCUGAGCAUAUCCUCCAAUCAUUGCAGACCAUGAGACUAUUCCUCUGUUUGGUAUCUCAAAAAAGGCACGAUCAGCAUCGUCUAUGCUUCCACACUUUGCAUACAUAUUAACCAGAGAGUUGCUGGCAAAAAUAUCACACAUAAAUCCAAACUUGAUGGCAUGGACAUGUAAUUGUUUCCCUUGCUCAUAUGCAGACAACUUUGCACAUGCAUUUAAGAGAGAACUGCAGAUAAAUGCAUCUGGCUUGAUAUCUGCAUCUUGCAUUUGUAAAUAUAGCUUUAAAGCCUCCUCCCCAUCGCCAUAUUGAGAAUACGCUGUUAUCAUGGAUGUGUAAGCCACCAAAUCUUCCCAAGUGCGCUCUUCAAAUAUUUUUGAAGCUUCAUCUAUAUGGUUACAUUUUCCAUAUGUGUCAAGAAGGCUGUUUAUAACAUAGAAAUCUGAAUAAAUUCCAGAUUUGAUGGAAAUUGAAUGAAUCUGCUUACAAACCUUAAUUGCCAGCAAGCUGGCCACAGAUUUGAGAACUGUUGAAAUAGUAGUUUGAUUGAAAUCUAUAUCUUCAUUGUACAUUUUAGAAAAAAGUGAGACAGCUUCGAAGUCAUCCCCACACUGUGAGUAACCAGAGAUCAAAGCAUUCCAUGCAAUAACGUCCUUCUUUGGCAUCGAAUCGUAAGCUCUUCUCGCAUCAUCCAUCAUUUCACACUUGGAAUACAUAUCUAUGAGUCCAACAGAAGCAUACAAAUCUGAAUCAGCAACCCUCUUUAUCAAACAAGAAUGUAACUGUUUACCCAGUUCCUUGAACCUCAUUGCAGCACAAGCCUUUAAAGCACUCGAAAGUGUAAACAUAUUGGGAGAAGUUCCUGAGCUAUUCAUCUCAUCCAACAUCAUUAAAGCCAAAUCAUUACGAUCGUGAAGAACACAACCAGCGAUAACUGCAUUCCAAGAAACAACAUCAGGGUGUGCAAUUUCCUGAAAAACAGCAACCGCACCUUCAAUCUCCCGCGCUUUAGAAUACGUGUCAACUAACGCAUUUGCGGAAAACUGAUCCAAAUCAAGCCCCAUCUUCAGCAUAAGUCCAUGAAGCGUCCUUCCUAGACCACCAUCCUGCAACCCUGCACAGACAUUCAAUAUGAUGGAAAUGCUGAACUCAUUAGGCCUUAUUCCACUCCUCAUCAUUUCCUUAAAUAAAUCUACAGCCUCACCUCUCAGCUCACUUUGCUCAUAACAAGAGAACAAGGCAUUCCAUGAAACAACAUUUUGCUCCACAAUUCCUCCAAAUAACCUCUUAGAAUCAUCUAGCAACCCACACUUAGCAUACAUAACAACCAAAGUGUUACCAACAAACCCAUCAGACUCGAACCCCGUGACCACAGCCAUCCCAUGAACCUUCCUCCCCAUGUUCAAAUCUCUCUUCAUCGAGCAUGCCUUAAGCACACUUGGGAAGGUAUACUCAUUGCACUUAACACCCAACAAGAACAUCUCAUUAAACACCAACAGUGCCUCCUCCACAAACCCAUUUUGCACAUACCCAGAUAGCAACGAAGACCAAGAAACCACAUCUGGCUCAAAACUUUCAUCAACCAGCUUGCGGGCAUACCUAAAACGACAACACUUGGAAUAGAGAGUUACCAGGUAAUUUCUGAGACCUGGAUGGCGGGAAAACCCAAACUUGAUCAAGUGGGCAUGGAGUUUCAUACCUGAAGUUAGCGACUUUGCAGCAACACAUUGUGAUAAGAGGUUUGAAUAGGAUACAGGGAGUUUGGUGAGGCUUUGUGAAUCUUUUAAUAUGGCGGCAGGAGACGCGGUUUGCACAGUGGGGGUUUUGAAUGGCAUAUAGAGACGUUGAAGAGUACUGUGAGGAAGGAAAUUGAUGCCCCAAAACCUUGGAGAUGUUUUGUUCAUUGACAACAUGAUAUUGUUAUUGCAAUUGCUCUAGUUACAGCCAAGGAAAGAGGCGUCUUCUCUCAAUGUAUGAAGAGAAAUUUUGAGAUUUUUUAGGAAUCGUUAUAUGAUGCUGUUUUCUUCUGCUUCUGAUUCUCACACUGAUUCUGAGAUUUCUACUGCUGCUAUCAUAAGUACGAGGAAAAUGAUUACGAUGCUUUUGCAACUCAACUCCAUUGCUGCUUCUGUUUUCUGAUUGUGUUUGCCUCAAAAAACUUGGGUUUGUUUAUUUCUUUUUGAUGAAAAAUGAAAAACAGUUCGGGAAUCUAUUUUCACUCAAGUAAUUCAUGUGAUAAACAUAAUGAUUUAUUCUAAUAUUAUUAGUUAUUUAGAUUUAUUAGUAUUAAAUAAAAUACAGUAUUUUAUUUAAUAAAAAUAAUGAUUUGAAUAUGAAAUUCUUUUAACAUUAAAUAUUAACGGUUUCGUGUAACAUCUAUUUCAUUCAAGAUGUUACGUGUAGUUGAUAAAAUAUUUAUUAACCUAAAAAAAUUUAAACUAUCGUACCAUGUUACGGUGAACGAAUAAAAUUUUAUUUAAUUAUCGUAUUAAAAUUAAAACUUCGCAUAAACAAACAUCAUUUCAAUUCUAAAACUUAAAAAGAAUAUUGUUUAAAAAUUAAAUAUUAAAACAAAACAGUAUUUCAAAUUUAUUUCAAAAACUCUAUAAGACUUUUCCACGCAUAUCCUCAUUCUAGACUUUAACAGCAUAAUUUAUAACAUUAUUUGUUGCUGUUCUUGUAUUGUUCAGACACAAGUAAACUAACCAAGAAAUAAUAUAAGAAAUAAUAAUAUAUCCACACCCACACUAUUAAAAAUAUUCAUUAUAAUCCAUAAAUUUAAACCAUAUUCACAUCACACAAAACAUCACUAUCAAGUAAUAUCCGAAUAACAUGUUCUCUUUUUUUUUUUCAUAACCUUAUCACUUUAGCUGCUCACCAGAACUUAUAGAAGAGUCAUCCUAUCUACUUCCAUAAGUAUUAUGUUAAGCUCAAAGUUUUAUGGUCAAACCUCACUUUAUCUGUUUUCAUAAACCUUACAAGUAUAAACCCAAAGCCUUAUAGUCAUGAUAUGUUUUUCCUGUUUCUAUAAGUCUUACGUAUCAUCUCUGUUUAAGCCCAAAGUUUUACCAGUCAUGACCCAUUUUUCCUACUUCCAUAAAGGAAAAUGAUAUUUUAACACCAUUUUUUGACAUCAUUUUGAUACUGCACACGUGUCAAAACGUGAUUGGACGAUUUCAAAUUAAAAAAGUUGAGACAGGAGUAUAUUUAGAAGAGAAAAACCAAAGUUUGUUUUUUUAAUUUAAAAUCGUCCAAUCACAUUUUGACAUGUAUGCAGUGUCAAAAUGAUGUCAAAAAAUGGUGUUAAAAUAUCAAUUUUCUUCCAUAAACUUUACUAGUAUCAUCUCUACUUAAGCCCCAAGCUUUAUGAGUGAAACAACCUCCAUCUUCCUCGACUUAUUAAAGCCUCAGGUGAACAGGAACCAUACCCACCUUUAUAAUUACGACAACAAAAAAUAACACAUAACUCUGCCUCCCCAUAUCAACUGGACCAACGAGCCAUCACACAAUCACAUCUUUCAGCAUACAACUGACAAAACACAUAAAAUAGCAUGGCAGUAGAUUUAAACACCUAAAAACAUGCAAAACAACUUGACAAAACACUUAAGACAAUAUGCAUUUUAAACAAGAGCACAGUGGACAACAAUCAUGAAUAAGACAACCAACAACAUGUAUUUUAAACAAUAAUACAGUGGAUAACAAUCAUGAAUAAAACAACCAACAACAUGUAUUUUAUACAAUUAAACAACAACAACAUUCCAAUUUUAAAUCAACACCCAAAAAUAUAAAUAACAGAACAAAGAAAAAAAAUUUUGAACUAAAUAAAAUAACUUCAAAUACAUAAUAAUUUCAUCACUACAACAAAGACACAGAUAAAUAUCAGCAACCAACAAAUGUUGUUAUUUCAUAUAACGCACUAUUAUAUUCAUAAAAUCAAAACCACAUUUUAGUUGCCCAUCACUAAAAUAUAUCAUAUCACCUCAUUUUAUACCAUACAUUAUAUACAUAUCCUGUUGAAUUAAUUAUCUAUAUGGUGUGUUUGAUUAUGGUUGAUAUAAUUUGAAGAUUUGUAUUUUGUUGUGUAAUUUAUUGUGGUUGAUAUAAUUAGUAUGUAUGUUUAUAUGACUUUUUUGUGUUAGUUCACCCUUGCAUGUUGUGAUUGUGGUUUCCAUUUGCGAUCAUUUUUAUACGGGAGGAGAUGAUCAUGCAGUUAGUUUGAUCUUGUAGAAUGCGACAAGUGGAUUGAGAGAGUUGGAAAAUUUAUGGUUGUUUGAAUAAACUAUUUUAUACGGAAUUUUAUUUUAUAAUUAAAUUGCAAUUUUGGUUUAGUUUUCUUGAAUUAUAAAGACUUAUUAAUUUAGUUUCUCCAAAGGUAUUAUGAUUUUAAAAAUUUUAAAUUUUAACUCAUAAUUGUAGCAUCCAAAAAUUGGAAUGUUACAUAAAUAUCAAAUUUUGACCUUAUUUAAUCACAAAACAUAUUGAAGAAUUUAUAUUUAUCAAAAAAUUAAAUCAAUAAUACCUUACUAAUGGACAGAUCUGUUAGUAAAUUCGUCGAUAAAUAUAAAUUACAACAAAAAAUGUCUGUCCACAAAUAACACAUGUAUCCGUCAAUAAUUCUAUUGAUAAUUUGUAUUUAUUCACGGAUUUAAGAUUAUCGAUAAAUAUUUGUCAAUAAAAUGCGUUUUUUCUAUAAGGAAUAUUAUAUUCAUAGAAGGUAAUAUUAAAGUUUUGCAAUUCUCCUUUAAUGAUUUUUGUUGAAUGGUGUUAUGAAAAUGAUGAAGUCUUCGUUAUGUCUAGGACAGUUAUAAAUGAAGAGAAAAGUUAUGCACACAUGUUUUAAAAAAUUAAGUGAGAAAGUAAAGUUUCACACAACUUUUUAAAAUAUCACUUAGGAUGAAUCUUAUACGAUCAAACUUGAAAAUAUUCAUUUACAUUACACUCUUAUACUCUAACAUGAAACUUUUUAUAUCUGAUCAUAAAAAAUUAAACAAAAAAAUUAUUUUUAUUUAAAAAAUGUCAUUGAUAAUCAUUAAUGUCACUAAUUGAUCAAUUUUACAAUAGUCUCUCUUAAAUAUAUGUAAUAAUAUUGUAUAUCUUUUUUACUAGUUGACAUGUUUGUGCUCAUGUUCCAGUGAAAAAAAAAAAAUAUAUAUAUAUAUAUAUAUAUAUAUAUAUAUAUAUAUAUAUAUAUAUAUAUAUAUAUAAUUUUUGUAUUCUUGAAAUGAGAUGAGGGUGAAAUUUAUCUCUAAAUAACUUAUGUAAGCUAAUGAUAAAAAGAAAAAAAAAAAACUAAACAUAAAACAUAUUAUUGCAAUAAAACAACAUAACUAAGUUAUUAACAAAAAAAAAAAAGACUUCAUUAAUAUCUAAGUUACACGUAUAUUAUUCGCAAAAAUAAACACUUCAUUAAUACUUAAAUUACACGUAUAUUAUUCUUGAAAUGUUAUACACUCUUUCUCUCCAAUUCACCUUUAAUUAAAACGAAAAAGUUUUCAAUCAACCUAUGAAAAAUAAUUUACAAAAUAAAAAGUAACAAGUUUAUGUUUAACUCAAAAGGUCAAGAAACGAAAAACUUUAAAAGAACAUAAUUAUUUUUUUAAGAAAAAAGUAGUUAACAAUGCAGUGAAUCGUAGGAGUGACUUUUAACAAUAUUAUGCACAGAAAUGUUUUCUACGAAUGCAUUCAUGGAAGUGCCAAGUUGCUCUGAGCUAAGUUUGUGACCAUCUCAUUCGAUUCCUCUUUAAUGCCACGUGUCAGAAUCUACUCAGUCAAUUCUAAGUUUAUUUUUCCUCUGCAUUGUUACAUGGAUCGAGAAAAGGCAGAAAGUGUGAACUAGAUUUGUUGGUGCCGCACCAUUUGCUCGUAACUUAUCUCUUGCAUGAUCGUUUAAUACUCAUAACUCAUCUUUGGAUGCUCCAUCUCUUACAUGGUCAUUGAAUGAUGCAUAUGCCUUGAUUAUUGACUCGUAAAUUUCAAUCCCUUUCAAGUAUUCAUCUUUGUGUAGAAACUGCGUAAAGGAGAAAAAAAAAAAUCAUGUCAAAUUUGAACUCCAAACUAAAUACAGUUAACAAAUUCAGAGAUGCUGAUAGAAGGACAUCAGUGCAAUUCAUGCCCAAAAAGAAGAAAAAAAAAAACAAUGUCAAUUCCUAUCUCAGUGAUAUGUGAGACAAUCUUUCAAAACAAAGUUGGUUUUGUUGAGUCCCGCCAUGUCGUACUUAAGAUCUGAGGCUCUCCCACUUUACAGAAAUAAUUCGGGUUACAUUCUUAUUUUAUGUUCAAGUAUUGAUAAUUGAUGUUUUCUAUAUUCAUUUGGGUGUUAGGUUACCUUGGGAAUCAAUAAGAAGUAAUUUCUACUAAUUGAAGCACGCUCAGACAAAUACACAACCAGUUUUAGGUAAUUCUACAGUCAGUUUAGGUAAUUUUGACACCUCAACUUCCAUUCACGAACACUCAAAAAAUAUUUUAUUAUUCAACAUGCAAUUUUUACAUGAGAAAAUUGAAAACUCUCAAAUCAACCUCCCAUUUUUAUAAUAGUUUCUUACUUUUUCCUUCUUCAUCUUCAGAUAUUUAAUGUACGAUAUUCACUUGAGAACAGAGUAAAUUGGAUUAAAGUGCAAACCAAAAUAUAUGAUGAUACAAGUAUAAGUUUAAAGGAAAAAACGCAACGUGGGAAGUUUAGUAAGGUGUAUGGUGUACGAAAGGAAGAAGUGGAAACCUAUUUCAUGGAAUCCACUAGUACACAUCCAAUGAUCGGGAUCUUAACAGAAUUGUUGAAUGGCAGGUGGGCUGGAGAUGGGAGGAUCUAGUGAGGAAUAUUUUCUGUUUUGAAGAGAGAGAAGGGAAGAAUAUAGAGGGGAGGGGAACGUCUGUUGGGGGUAGGCAGGGACAUGGAAUUUGGGACUUGGGACUGAGGUCAUUGUAUCACGUAUAGUGAGUGGAUCUUCUCCUCUGUAGUGUUUGGACAGAGUGACGAAUAAUAUAAGAAUCUCUUUUAUCUUUUCUCCUACUAUGUGCUGAUUGCUAUCACAUGAUAUAUGAGUGAAGUUGUCAAAGAGAAAAGUGAAAGCUGUUGUUGAUGUCAGCAUUUAAAGGAAGUGACAUGUUAGAAGAUUCACAUAAAGCAUAAUGAAUUACUCGACGUAGUACUAGAUCUUGAAGUUCUCUCACCUAAUGGACUAGUCUUUUGGAUUGGGCUAUCUCAUUGUCCUUAAAUUCUGACAGUUUUGUUUAAACACCUACCUUCUCUUAUGAUUCCCUCUAUUCCAAGACAAUAGUACUUUUAGUUUUUAAGUUAUCUUUCACAACAAUAUUUCUACAUAUAAUUAAGAGUAAGCAAUAAAGAAUACUUACAUUGAAAAAAAAAUUAACAAAAACAAUAGUUGGAAAAGUUAAGGGUACUUUUGACUAAAUUCGAAUUAAUAGAAUUGAACCUGAAAAGACUAUUGUUUUAGAAUCAAGCAGAUAUAUUCACCGACUCUUACAUGUUUAUGGUUACACUUUCUUUACCAAAACUAUGCUCUGAUCUGGCAGACAGGGGUUUUGCAAGAGGCUAAAGUCAACCCCAGGAUGCCAGUGUAUGAGGUCUAAUGCAAGCUUCAGUUCUAAAUAACAAAUCAGAUAUAUGAUUCUAAAGACAAUGAUAACUCUUAUGCAAAUAAGCUCACUGACAAAACAAGCAAUUACGCAUACAAUAAAUUAAAGGCAUCACCUCAUUAUGGUCAUGGAGUAGAAGAGGGGUGUUUGCCAUAGGUGAGAAUCCAAUAGCUGGUAAUCCAAGGUCACGGAAGUAGCGUGAAUCUGUAGCUGCAGGAAAGACCUCCGGCUUACCAAGUUUACCACCAGCCAUUUCGACACCCUUUUCAAGAAGGCUCCA
rnacentral:lncRNA from 1 species